rnacentral:rRNA from 1 species
CCUACGGGGUGCAGCAGUGAGGAAUAUUGGUCAAUGGACGAGAGUCUGAACCAGCCAAGUCGCGUGAGGGAAGACGGUCCUAUGGAUUGUAAACCUCUUUUGUCGGGGAGCAAAAGACGCCACGCGUGGCGUUCCGAGAGUACCCGAAGAAAAAGCAUCGGCUAACUCCGUGCCAGCAGCCGCGGUAAUACGGAGGAUGCGAGCGUUAUCCGGAUUUAUUGGGUUUAAAGGGUGCGCAGGCGGAAGAUCAAGUCAGCGGUAAAAUUGAGAGGCUCAACCUCUUCGAGCCGUUGAAACUGGUUUUCUUGAGUGAGCGAGAAGUAUGCGGAAUGCGUGGUGUAGCGGUGAAAUGCAUAGAUAUCACGCAGAACUCCGAUUGCGAAGGCAGCAUACCGGCGCUCAACUGACGCUCAUGCACGAAAGUGUGGGUAUCGAUCAGGAUUAGAUACCCUGGUAGUC